rnacentral:lncRNA from 1 species
CAGCUUGCCUGCUGUCAUAGAGGAAGCCUGCAGCAGCUUCAGAAGGUGAAUUGUGACACCUUCCACAGCUCAGCUCAGCUCCUCACCUCCAAGGUUUCCCUCCACAGUGUGUGUGAGAGGGAACUUUGUGUCACAGCAUCCCUAGUCUGAAAGGAGACAUCUGUCGUAACAUUCUUGGAAGGCAGGCCAUUUCACUGGCCUUCAGCUCCUGUUUCCCCACUUCCUGGCUGUGAAUUGAGCUUUUGCUCCAGCUUUCUGACCACAAGCUACUUGAAGAACUGCUUCAUGGUUACACUCACUGUAAAUGGUGUUCCAGCCCAUCAAGUGAUGAAACUGACUUUGCAGCUCCUGCCCUUAUCAUAACUCAUCUACACUACAGAGUUAACCUUAUAUUUAUGUCAUCAUUCCGACCACGAUGCUUGUUGUGCUACCAACCACUGCGUUCUUUGUCUUCUUUACAGGAGGCAGUCUAAAGAAGGAAAUUUAGUGGAAAGAUUUGUUAUAAUCCUAUAGAGACGGUAAACAGGACUCCCAUACUUGCUUC